ensembl:lncRNA LINC01927 long intergenic non-protein coding RNA 1927
GUAACUAUGGAAACAAACUGAGUUUGUCAAGCCAGAAAGCAACCCUCCAGCAUCCAGAUUACCCUUCGAAGACGGCAAAGAAAAAGAGAGCUCUGAAAUCACUCAACGCAUAGGAGCUGGUUCUAUAAUUUUUAGACUUUAAUUAAAUCAAUUAUUAAAGCCUUUCUUAAUGCCUUGCUGAGAUAUUCAGGCUCGGGCUGCCUCAGGAGAGAGGAAGUGGUUGAAUGCACAGAGGUGGCUAAUAAGAGGGGACACAACAUUCCAGAAUCCCACAGGAAAGAUUCUACCAUCUCCACAGCUGCCCUCGCCGCAGUCCUCCCUACUGUUGGAGAAGAUGCCCCCAAUAACUGGGGUGUCUCGAGCUAGUGGACACAUCAUGGAGCUGGGAGGUAGAACACUGGAUGAGCCACAGAAAGCACACAGGACUUUGCUGUGGAAGAGUCAAAGAUCCACGUGGGAGCAUCCCGUAGGGGACUUGCGUUUCAGAUCAGAUGAUGCUUUUCAUGUAUGUCCAGCAGCAAGAGAGUCCUUCACUGGUGAAAAAUCACGGGCCUCAGAGCAGAUUUUAGUUCAUCUUUCAUUUCAAAGCACUCCUUAGAUAUCUGCAAAUUAAAUCCCCUAAUUUGGUGAGGACGCCCAGCUUCCCAAAUAACAAGGCUUUUCCUUUGAUUCUAACCAAGUGAGCCGGCCCUGCAAAAGCCGGGGUGCGUGUUCUGGCUCCAGGCUUCUGAGCAGCCUUUCUCCCCACGCUGCAGCUUUUCAGUUAGGAAGUCAGAGAGAAGGAAAGAGAACUAUUUCCAAUUCAAUCACGAGCAUGUCUACGCACCACUGAAGACAGACCUUUGUCCUGUUGCUUUCCAAACUUUAAAUGUGAAUUUUUCUUCUUAUGAUGACUGGUGUACUCUGUUAUUCUGAAAAAAGAAAAAGCCAUAAGCACCCUGAAGUGAGGCUUUCACCUGAUACUAAUUUUCUUCUUCGUUAUAAGGCUAUUGUUUGUUUGAACAAAGAAAUAGGAGCCAUUGGUGGCUGUUUACAUUAUAGGAAUGAGGGCAGCGAUGGGGGAGGAGGAGGGGACCUUUUCAUUAAUGAGCUGGGGACAUUGAUUAUGGGGACACACUAAAGACUAAAAGGGACACCUAUAUUUCUACAUUCUUUCCAUGCAAGUAAUAUAUGAUCUUUAUCAUCUGUUAAACACCACUCACAUAUUUCAGGUGGCUGUAGGUUGAUUGCUAACAUUUAGAUUAAACAAGCAGUUAGAGUCUGAUGUUUAAAAUAAAAUAAGACAAGCCCUUGAACUCUGGGACCAGGUAUGCCCCGUUAUCUGGUCGUACCUGAACGAGCCUGUGUUGAGCACCCAAGGCCGCUGGGCACGUCUGUGGAUGUGGGGUUUCAGGCUCAACCCACUCGAGGAGCAGGGGGCUUUUGGGAGGUGGCAGCCUCCUAUACAAAACGAGCUGCCAGUAAAUAUUUAUAGAACAAAGAAAUGCAUGAAUUUCUCCUGAAUUAAACAUGAUACAUUUGUAC